rnacentral:rRNA from 1 species
CCUACGGGGAGCAGCAGUGGGGAAUAUUGCACAAUGGGGGGAACCCUGAUGCAGCGACGCCGCGUGAGUGAAGAAGUAUUUCGGUAUGUAAAGCUCUAUCAGCAGGGAAGAAAAUGACGGUACCUGACUAAGAAGCCCCGGCUAACUACGUGCCAGCAGCCGCGGUAAUACGUAGGGGGCAAGCGUUAUCCGGAUUUACUGGGUGUCAAGGGAGCGCAGACGGCUGUGCAAGUCUGGAGUGAAAGGCGGGGGCCCAACCCCCGGACUGCUCUGGAAACUGUAAAGCUGGAGUGCAGGAGAGGUAAGCGGAAUUCCUAGUGUAGCGGUGAAAUGCGUAGAUAUUAGGAGGAACACCAGUGGCGAAGGCAGCUUGCUGCAGCGGAACUGACGCUGAUGCUCGAAAGCGCGGGUAUCGAACAGGAUUAGAUACCCUUGUAGUC